UACGUAGGGGGCAAGCGUUAUCCGGGUUUACUGGGUGUAAAGGGAGCGUAGACGGCAGUGCAAGUCUGAUGUGAAAACCCGGGGCUCAACCGCGGGAUUGCAUUGGGAACUGUACCGCUUGAGUACUGGAGGGGCAGGCGGAAUUCCUGGCGUAGCGGUGAAAUGCGUAGAUAUCAGGAGGAACACCGGUGGCGAAGGCGGCCUGCUGGACAGUAACUGACGUUGAGGCUCGAAAGCGUGGGGAGCAAAC
rnacentral:rRNA from 1 species